rnacentral:rRNA from 1 species
CAGCCGCCACGGUAAUACGGAAGGGGCUAGCGUUGUUCGGAAUUACUGGGCGUAAAGCGCACGUAGGCGGCUUGGUAAGUUAGAGGUGAAAGCCUGGAGCUCAACUCCAGAAUUGCCUUUAAGACUGCCGAGCUAGCAGGUGAGAGAGGUAAGUGGAAUUCCGAGUGUAGAGGUGAAAUUCGUAGAUAUUCGGAAGAACACCAGUGGCGAAGGCGACUGACUGGACAAGUAUUGACGCUGAGGUGCGAAAGCGUGGGGAGCAAACAGGUUUAGAUACCCCCGUAGUCCCUGUCUCUUAUAC